AUGUGCAACCGCUCGCCGGAAUCCGGCUGCUCCUCCCAAGCGCCGCCCACGCCGUCCUCUGCUCGUUCCCGCACGCUGCCGGCUGCAUCUCGCUGUUUCGCGCCGCCGGGAUCACGCCUAUCGCCUUCCCGCGGACGCCGGAGGAAUAGCUCAGGCACUGCUCCUCCACAUCCUCUUGGUUGCAUGACCACCACUCUGCCUUCUUUCGUUGCGGCUUUGUCGCCGUCGCAUCUAGGCAGAAGCGAACCAUCUCACGCGCCCCUGCCAGUCCCAGCAACACGCAAAAAGCUGUCGCCCCUUACCUGUUGGUUGUCCGCUCAUGGCAACCCUCCCUACGCUGAGGCUGAGCUGACCGUGGCAGUCUGCGAGAGCCGAUCUGGGCCGCAUCUUCUUCAUCUUCAAAGCAACAGCAGCGAGCCUGUUCAGUUCGUCUUCAAGGAGCAGCAGCGCAUCACGUUCACCCACUAG
rnacentral:rRNA from 1 species